GGGACAGGAAGGGAGGAUGAGAAGCCUCAGGCCUGUCCAGCCUCGGAAGGAUAAACAAAACCCCCUGCCCUCCUCCAAUGGAGAAUCUGAAGUCUCCAGCCUUUACAUCCAAUUGGUCUAAUAAAGAGCUGAAUGGCCAAUAGCCUCGCAGGUGAAAGGAAGGAUAGGCGGAGCCGGCUGGAAGAGAGAAUAAAUAGAAAGAGAAAUCUCGGAAAAAAAGAGAUUGAGGAGCAAGAGAAGGAGGAGGAGAGGAGGACUCCAGGGGCCAGCCACCCAAUCACACAGCCAGACAUGGAAGAAGAAGGAAAGAAAAGAAAUCAAAAAAGGUAAGAGCCCAGAGGCCAAAGAUAGACGAGAUAAUCUAAGUCAAAGAAAGCUGGCUAGAAAUAAGCCAAGCUAAGGCCGGGUAUUCACAAGUAAUAAUGUCUCCAUGUGUAUUUAUUGGGGAGCUGGGGGGCAGGACCCCCAAAGAGCCAAAACCGUAAAAGAGCAAAAGAGCAAAGAGUAAAAGGCAGCCAACAGCGCACCGUUUUCGAGGUUCACCCACGCUGCAGCAUCCGUGUGACUGGGUAAGGGACUCACAAGCACCCUGUGCUGAAGAUUUACUCCCCAGGACACUGGCAGGGGUGGUGGAGCCUUUGGGGGCCAUUGUCGCGACCCUUAGGCCUUUAAACAGACCGUAUGAAGGGCUGUUGACCCCCCCAUUUGUGCCACUCAUCAGAGGCCUAAACGACAGGGCCACUCAGCUCUGCACAGGAGUCUCCAGAGCCUUGGUCCAAGGGAAACCUUGUUUCUUGCAGGUCAGUUGCCUCAAGUAUCCCAUCAUAGCGAUGGAACGCAGGCUGCUGCAAGAACUCGAUCAUCCUUCCCUUAUUUCUCUAUAUACGCUGCAUUUUCUUUAACCAUGUAUUAGCAAAAAUUUUCUCAUUUUUGCUACCACAAGUGGCAUUGCUAUGAACUUCUGUGUUCAGGUUCACGUUCACCUGUCCUCUUAAAAGUAUUUAUCUAUUUAUUGUAUGUUUUGUGUGCGUAUGUGAAUGCCUGCAUGUAUGUACGUGCACAAUGGGAACGCCUGGUGUUCGCAGAGGCCAGGACAGAACAUCAGUCCCCUGCAAUUUGAGUUACAAGCAUCUGUGAGCUAUCACAUGGGAACUUGGAACCAAACCUACGCCCUCUGCAAGAGCAACACAAGGGCUCCUGACCCCUGAACCUUCUCUCCAGUGGAGAUGUCCUUAUUCCUCCCUUGUGCACCUGGGAGUGGAGCUGUCACGUCACAGACUGUCUGAGAAGGUUGGGGCUGCUGGCCAGUCAUCCUGCACUGCUUUGCAGAUCUAACAGGCAUGUUCAGGGGUUUCAGCCCCCCUACAGCCCUGCCAACACCCACUCUUUUGUGUUCCUUACAACCGUCCUUCUGGAUAGGAAUAAUGCCCUGUUGUGGUUUGACUUGAUUUGCUUUGACGGCUCACUUUGCCGGCCACCAUUUUGUCCUCUGUAUAUUUAUCUUCUGUGAAGAAACAUAUAUUAGACCCCUUGCCCAGUUUCUGGUGGUUGUCUUUUUGUUACUAAGCAGCGUGAGUCUAGUUAUAUAUUCUAAACCCAAACCCUUUACUGAGAUGCGAGUUUUGAGUAUUUCCUCCGAUUCUGUGAGUUGUUUUUUAUUUUCUGGAUGACGUCCUUUGAAGAAGGCCGGACAUUUUCCAGCCAGACCAGAUGACACUGCUUGUCUUCUCAGAUGCCCGGGACACUGAGACAGGAGGAACUACAAGUUCAAGACCAGGUGUCUCCACACAUUGUUUGAAAACGGACUCAUUCUUUAUCGAACUACCACAGCACCCUUUGUGGGAACUGGUCAACUUCUGAACUCUGAGGUUGGUCCCACUCUAACCCAGAAAACAUGAUUCCUGCAGACGUGUCUGUCUUUGCCAAAGAGCACACCAGCCACUGAGACCAUUCUGCCUGUGUUGUGCCCUUGAAGCCCCACAUAUGAACUUUAGGAUCCAAGCACCAUCAUCUACCAAAGAGCCAGCUGAGCUUGUGACAAGACCUUCCCUGGACCUGGGUCCCACACAGAGAGUCCUGCUGGUGUCUGACUUCCACCAGACCCACUAAUCAGUCUCCUGUUAAGACCCGGCCGUCGAGGGGCUGACGAGGAAAGUACAUAAUCCACGGGUCAGGUGUCAGGGAAGAGGCAUAAGAGCAUGGAGGUUGCAGUCCUUCUGAAACAAGGCGCUUCAGAGUUGCUUAGGCUUCACGCCUCUCCAAAACAACGCAUGGUCGUCUCCUAGCUCUAAAUCAACAAACUCUGAACCUUCGUCAUAGCAGCCAACAGCCUCCCUGGAAACACCAGGGCCAGUGGAACUAUGACUGGGGAUCCCCAUCGAGCCAAACAGCCACAUUUCCAAUGAGUUUUCUGGCCCAUGACCUUGGGAUGUCCUUCCAUGCACAGAAGUCCUCUUGGGUUUCUUUCAA